GAUGAACGCUAGCGGCAGGCCUAAUACAUGCAAGUCGAGGGGUAUGGGUUGCUUGCAAUCCAGGGACCGGCGCACGGGUGCGUAACGCGUAUGCAACCUACCUUAAUCAGGGGGAUAGCCCGGAGAAAUCCGGAUUAACACCGCAUAAAAACACAGGGUAGCAUUACCCAAUGUUCAAAUAUUUAUAGGAUUAAGAUGGGCAUGCGUGCCAUUAGCUAGUUGGCGGGGUAACGGCCAACCAGGGCGACGAUGGCUAGGGGAUCUGAGAGGAUGACCCCCCACACUGGUACUGAGACACGGACCAGACUCCUCCGGGAGGCAGCAGUAAGGAAUAUUGGUCAAUGGGGGCAACCCUGAACCAGCCAUGCCGCGUGCAGGAUGACGGCCCUCCGGGUUGUAAACUGCUUUUGUACGGGAAUAAACCUUUCUUCGUGAAGAGAGCUGAAUGUACCGUAAGAAUAAGGAUCGGCUAACUCCGUGCCAGCCGCCGCCGUAA
rnacentral:rRNA from 1 species